UGGGGAAUAUUGGACAAUGGGCGCAAGCCUGAUCCAGCCAUGCCGCGUGUGUGAAGAAGGCCUUUUGGUUGUAAAGCACUUUAAGCGAGGAGGAGGCUACUUGGAUUAAUACUCUAGGAUAGUGGACGUUACUCGCAGAAUAAGCACCGGCUAACUCUGUGACAGCAGCCGCGGUAAUACAGAGGGUGCGAGCGUUAAUCGGAUUUACUGGGCGUAAAGCGUGCGUAGGCGGCUUCUUAAGUCGGAUGUGAAAUCCCUGAGCUUAACUUAGGAAUUGCAUUCGAUACUGGGAAGCUAGAGUAUGGUAGAGGAUGGUAGAAUUCCAGGUGUAGCGGUGAAAUGCGUAGAGAUCUGGAGGAAUACCGAUGGCGAAGGCAGCCAUCUGGCCUAAUACUGGCGCUGAGGUACGAAAGCAGGGGGAGCAAACAGG
rnacentral:rRNA from 1 species